GUACACUCCUACGGGAGGCAGCAGUGGGGAAUAUUGGACAAUGGGCGCAAGCCUGAUCCAGCCAUGCCGCGUGAGUGAUGAAGGCCCUAGGGUUGUAAAGCUCUUUCACCGGUGAAGAUAAUGACGGUAACCGGAGAAGAAGCCCCGGCUAACUUCGUGCCAGCAGCCGCGGUAAUACGAAGGGGGCUAGCGUUGUUCGGAUUUACUGGGCGUAAAGCGCACGUAGGCGGACUAUUAAGUCAGGGGUGAAAUCCCGGGGCUCAACCCCGGAACUGCCUUUGAUACUGGUAGUCUUGAGUUCGAGAGAGGUGAGUGGAAUUCCGAGUGUAGAGGUGAAAUUCGUAGAUAUUCGGAGGAACACCAGUGGCGAAGGCGGCUCACUGGCUCGAUACUGACGCUGAGGUGCGAAAGCGUGGGGAGCAAACAGGAUUAGAAACCCGUGUAUCCCAUG
rnacentral:rRNA from 1 species